rnacentral:misc_RNA from 1 species
AACGCACGAGACCUGCGGACCUGCGGAAGGAUCAUUACCGAGUUUACAACUCCCAAACCCCAUGUGAACAUACCUGUUUCGUUCCCUCGGCGGUGUCCGGCAACGGCCCGCCAGAGGACCCAACAAACUCUUUUGAAUUUUUCAGUAUCUUCUGAGUGAAAAAAACAAUAAAUCAAAACUUUUAGCAACGGAUCUCU